rnacentral:lncRNA from 1 species
CGCCCUAGUGCGUAACUCCUCUGGCCAAUACCGACUGCCUAAUAAUACUAUGCCUAGUUUACGAAUUUAGCUUGUUGUUGGAAAGACCUUUAACCGCCUUUUUCGGGCCACCCUUUCUUCUGCGGCGACGCCCUCUCUCUUCACUGAUUCCUACGGGGUCCGGUAGGACAGCAGACUUCCCCUGACAUUAGUGGCCAUUAAGAUAAGACAAGACCCACGAUCUCAUUACAACGAGCACUUGAGAUGACACUUGCUUCCUUUCUUCUUGGUAAUGCACUUCGCUGGCGCGGAACGAACCUUUCACGAAGGAAAGUACUGAAGGCAAGCCGAAUUUUCUUGUGAAUGCUGCAAUAGGAUCUGGUGACAGGACGACACUUACCACGUAUUUGCUGGCAUUCCUCGAGGAGCUCAGUGGCGUCGAGAUUAGGACACGACUCCUGGAAGCCUACUUCAGGGUCUGAAGUCAACGAGGCUGAGCCUGCUCGAGCCUCUCCUUCAACAUCAAGGCUAUCGUUGUCAAGGCGAGAUCAAAAGUUCAACAAGCUGUCGUCGCCCCCAAGAAUUUCUAUCGUUGCUGCCUGGCACUGCCUGAUGGUAGCAGUAUCUUGUUGUAUUUUAUUAGAUUUUUGCUUCAUUGAUGAAGAGGCGUUCCUGAGACAGCAUCAUCUCCCAUUCGCGCGCAACGUCACUACUGGUCUCAUAGCCUUUUAACAGCAGUUUUACAGUCUGUCUCUGGGGAUUUAUUGUCAGCAAAAACACUGCUAUGCUGUGCCUUGUGCCCCCUGUUGAGGGCCAGCGCAGUGUUGGCGAGGGACUGGGAUUGAAAGAGAGAUGGAAGUCAGAGGACGAGAACGACGGACUAACUGACGCACGGACGGACAUUGCUUUCCGCCACCACAAAAGCCCCUGCUGCUGCCACAUUGAUGUUGCUUCUGCGGCUGCAAUCGCCGAGUUAUGGAAAAGAUCGAUUUCCCCCUCUUGUACAGACCCUAUAGGGCGCUGCCUGCGGAUGGAUUGGAAAGGCAUGCCUGCAACUGCGGCAGAGUUGAGCACGUAAGGUUACCAAGGUCAUCACCACAAAAUGAAUGUUGAAACCUGCUGCCUUCAGCCAUGUGAGCCAAGAUGGACUGUUCUGACCUCCUUUACUUUGCUUCCUUCUACGUAUAUACCUCUUUCUUCCUUUUCUCGCCACUAUACUGCACGCUAGAGUUCGGGGAUGUUCGGGCUGCAUACACUCAGUAGCAGCUAGCUAUCUGGUUAACACUACGUGCCAAGCUCUCUGACUGCACAGCCGAGUACGACAGUGGCUCUUUGGGGAGGGGCGACGAUGGGGGAAGGAGCUAACGUGGCGGACGGGCAAGAUUGAAUUGGGGUAGUAGUUGGAGGUAGCGAUCUGAUGCGGCUGCUGCGAGUUCGGACGAGGCGGGGGCAUUGGAGGCCGAGGGCACCGGUUCACUGCGGAUAACGACAAUAUCGGAUUGCGUGGACGACGUGAUAGCAGGCAAGCACACGAUAGCCGGCUUAGAGACGGCCUAAAGGAACAUCUAGACAAAGCAGACACGACUACCACGACUGCCCGUAUGACACUGUUACUUCCCGUGAUCAUAUUAGAUAAAGGAUAUUACGUCUCUUUUUGAUAGCAAGACAGUCAUUCCCUUCACGCGAGAGCCAUAUCGAGCAAUCCGUUAGUAAUCACUGCUAUUAGUACUUGCUAUGCACUAGGUAAACAUAGUGCUAUUAUAAAAACGAGGUCAACGCUAAUAGCUGACACGUUCACAUUCUUGAUACAAGUCGCAGGGUCAUGAUACAUUCUUAUUACAGCUGUCA